GAUUGAAUAGUUCAUGAGGAAAUUGGGAGAAUAGGAGAGAAUUGAUGACAGUUCGCAAUGGAUAAUUGCAUUCUUGGUCUCGAAAUGGAGAACACUCAAAGGAUCAGAGGCUACAGUCUCCAGACGUUUGCGAUUGUUGGGGCUGGACAAUAGACCCAAGCAAAAGUGAAGCUACGUGUCAGUUUUAUUUGGAUGUGGAUGCAACGUUGGUUGGAAAAUGCAGAAGAAUCGGUGUACAGAAUUUCCCAGGUGAUUGAUGACACUGUUUGUUGGUAGCCAAGGUGAUUGAAUAGUUCAUGAGGAAAUUGGGAGAAUAGGAGAGAAUUGAUGACAGUUCGCAAUGGGUUAGAUCAAUUAAAAUACCUUCUAGUUUUAUUAGUUCAGUGAAACAACGUAUUGCUAUUAAUACAAUUGCUAAAAACUCACUAAUCAAAAACUCGUGACAUACCUUUGACGUUGCAUAGCCUGUAAAUCGAAGUUGAACACAACUCUGACGUUUACGAAUACUAAUGAUCACAUGUAAUUAUAAUUAUUCCUUUAUUCAGAUAAUUGCAUUUUUGGUCUCGAAAUGGAGAACACUCAAAGGAUCAGAGGCUACAGUCUCCAGACGUUUGCGAUUGUUGGGGCUGGACAAUAGACCCAAGCAAAAGUGAAGCUACGUGUCAGUUUUAUUUGGAUGUGGAUGCAACGUUGGUUGGAAAAUGCAGAAGAAUCGGUGUACAGAAUUUCCCAGGUGAUUGAUGACACUGUUUGUUGGUAGCCAAGGU